UGCGCCCGUCGCCCGGUGGCGGCCUCCUGUCGGGGGAUGGGCCACCAGGAGUCCCCGCUGACCCGAGCGGCGGCCCGAGGGGCCGCUUAUAUAAAGACGUUAUGUAAAGGGCUCAGCUGGCGCGAACACGUGGAGGGCCACGGGAACCCGGACGCUCGGGCCUCCCCUGCCGGCGCCACGGCCGCAGCGGUUGCCCGCCGUACCCGGGCCGCCGCCGCCGCCGCCGCCGCCGCCGCCGCCGCCCCCGUUACCCGGUCGCUGAGAAGACCCCGACCCGCCGCGCAUCAGCCCCCGGCGCGCCCUCCGGGAGGCCGACGACGCGCCGUCGCCAAGUGGAACCGCACCCGCCAGGUCACAAUCCAAGGUCCCUUUCCUUCACGUUCCGAGGCCGGACGGAGGGAUGAGGCAGGGGAGGCCCGGGCAGCGCCGUUGCUGCUCCCCUCGCCGUCCGAAGCCAUGGAAACGGGGAAGGAGGACGGCGCCCGCAGAGGUACACAAAGCCCCGAGCGGAAAAGGCGAAGCCCAGUGCCGCGGGCGCCCAGCUCGAAGCUGAGGCCGGCGGCUGCGGCCCAGGCCAUGGAUCCCGUGGCGGGCGAGGCCCCGGGCGAGGCCUUCCUGGAACAACGACGGCCGGAGGGCGGCGGCGGGUCGGCGCGGCCUCGCUAUAGCCUGUUGGCCGAAAUCGGGCGCGGCAGCUACGGCGUGGUUUACGAGGCUGUGGCCGGACGCAGCGGGGCCCGGGUGGCGGUCAAGAAGAUCCGCUGCGAUGCCCCGGAGAACGUGGAACUGGCCCUGGCUGAAUUCUGGGCCCUGACCAGCCUCAAGAGACGCCACCAGAACGUCGUGCAGUUUGAGGAGUGCGUCCUGCAACGCAAUGGGCUAGCCCAGCGCAUGAGUCACGGCAACAAGAGCUCCCAGCUGUACCUGCGUCUGGUGGAGACCUCCCUCAAAGGAGAAAGGAUCCUGGGCUAUGCUGAGGAGCCCUGCUAUCUCUGGUUUGUCAUGGAGUUCUGUGAAGGUGGAGAUCUCAAUCAGUAUGUCCUGUCCCGGAGGCCAGACCCAGCCACCAACAAAAGUUUCAUGCUACAGCUCACGAGUGCCAUUGCCUUCCUGCACAAAAACCACAUCGUGCACAGGGACCUAAAGCCAGACAACAUCCUCAUCACUGAACGGUCUGGCACCCCCAUCCUCAAGGUGGCAGACUUUGGACUGAGUAAGGUCUGUGCUGGGCUGGCACAUCGAGGCAAAGAGGGCAAUCAAGACAACAAAAAUGUGAAUGUGAACAAAUACUGGCUGUCCUCAGCCUGCGGCUCAGACUUCUACAUGGCUCCUGAAGUCUGGGAAGGACACUACACAGCUAAGGCGGACAUCUUUGCUCUGGGCAUUAUCAUCUGGGCAAUGAUAGAAAGAAUCACUUUCAUUGACUCUGAGACCAAGAAGGAGCUCCUGGGGACCUACAUUAAACAGGGGUCUGAGAUCGUCCCUGUUGGUGAGGCGCUGCUAGAAAACCCAAAGAUGGAGUUGCAUAUUCCCCAGAAACGUAGGACUUCCAUGUCUGAGGGGAUCAAGCAGCUCUUGAAAGAUAUGUUGGCUGCUAACCCACAGGACCGGCCUGAUGCCUUUGAACUUGAAACCAGAAUGGACCAGGUCACAUGUGCUGCUUAAAUUCAGGCCUGACCAUCUUGGGUGUUUUUAAAAGUCGAUCCCUCGGGACCCACAGUCUCAUCAUGCCUCGGACAGGACAGCAGAGCGUACAGGUGGUGGCUUGACUGGUGAUCUCCUAACAGCUUCGACCUCCGGCAAUGUGAAGCUUUUGUUUGGGAUUCCCCUCCUUUUGGUUGCAUUUUGUUUUUUGUUGUUGUUAUUUUUUUCCUGUCCUUUUUCUUUCCUUUUAAUUUAAGUCAUCAAGACUUCAGAAGAACAGAAAGUUAUGCUGUGGACAGGCAUCAUUUAAAGAAAUUCAAUGUGGACAAAGCAUGUGUAAAUUUUACUGUUCAUUUCUGUAAAAGGUUAGGGAGCGAUUUGAGUUGUGUCAUUUUCCUUCUGAUUUCUCUGUGCGUCUCAAGUUCUGCUUGUAGCAUCUCACUCCCUGGAGAAGAUCCAUCUCCCCAGAGAGUGUUUGGGGAUUCUCUUGGAAUAGAACAUGAAGACAUAGGAGUUUUCUGGGCCACCUUCCUCCCAGACAUAGGACAGCUGGACUCCUUGGUGGGCUGGUACUGGCCAGCCCUUGGACCUCACACAGGAGCAGAGGUGAAGAGCUGCCUGGAUGAGGAAGGCCAGGGCUUGGCCAGGAGGACUCCAGAAAGGAGCAUAGCCUGCAGGUUUGGUUCCCUUUAAGCUGUUGGGAGUCCAGGCCACACCAGGACUCAGUGGUAGGACUUGGUUUCUUCUUCUGCCCUUUAUAACUGGGAGCCCCAGAGGGAGAAGGCCAAGGGCAACCAUGCCUACUGCUGCAGUGAGCAGCUAGUUGCGCAAGCCUACUGUCUGGUUAGGACUGUUGUGCCAAACCUCUUUCUGGAGCACACUGAGUCCUCCUCGGAUGCCAUCAGCAUUGUUAGCUCAGCAACCCUCACCUGCUGCCUCCAGGAUCAUCGGCUCCCCAGUCCUCUUCCCUCAAGAGUACCUCCAGCCUCUCCUUCCUUCCAGGGUGCUGCUGACUCUUGUUCUAGAAGCUGGUAAUCUAGGACCUACGUGUGAACAACUUUAUAUGAAUAUUUUUUGUACUUGGUUUACUUGGGUUGAUAUGAUACAUUAUAUUUAAGUUCCUCGAACACUGUGGAUCCCCUAAUGUAUGAAUGACUGAGGCUUUGUAAAUUAAGGGACGUUUGUGUGAAUAAAGUUAUUUGAUGGGGUCAAAGAAG